AUGGCGUCGGUGAUUCCGGACGGGGGCGGCGGCGAUAUGGGUGGCGGCGCGGGCGGCGGCGACGGCGGCGGCGGUGGCACAAAUUUGGAUGAUGUUGGCUUAUUCUCUGAAGUGGAUAAGUGGUUGGGGACGAGCAGCUAUGCGAUGCAUGCAGGGUUGCAGCAGCCGGAGGCAGUGGUCGGCCAGUCAUCGCCGGCGCCUGGAUGUUUUAUGGGUGGCAGUUUGGCUGAGCAGAAGUGGGAGAUAUGGUUUCAUUUAGAAGGAAGAAACCCUGUGAAAAGGGUUAUAUAUGAGACAGAUUUCUUUGCUUACUCUACAAUCACUCAUUGCUAG
rnacentral:rRNA from 1 species